rnacentral:tRNA from 1 species
GGGCGGUUAGCUCAGCGGUAGAGCAUCGGUCUUACACACCGGGGGCCGCAGGUUCGAACCCUGCACCGCCCACCA